GACAUCAGAGGCAUCGUAGCCGAUCUUCUUCAUGGCAACGGCUGCCGCCGUGAUGCCGAGUGGAAUCCCCCAGCUGAGAACAGAGAGAGGAGGAGGCGUUGCUGGACUGGCGAAAAGCCAUGAGGAACAUCACGGACAGAACUAGGUAAGCGUCUAUUUGAAGACAAGCUUCUUCUGCAGAGCUACAACCCCAGCGGGAGGCAGACACGGACAGCUGGAGGAUCAAGGGACCCACCAGACGCAAAGGCACGAUAUCACCAAACCCAAGCUGCAUUUAAUCCCGUUUCAAGCGGGAUGGAUGGGGUGUGGUUUGGGGAGCCAACACAAACGGUCUGGGAGCCUUGCUGGAGACAAGCCCAUGCAAAUCUGUUCAGCUCUGCUCGACGGGAGACCCCCGUGGAAAAGCAGGAUACAUCAGAACAAAAGCCAGUUUUUAGCUGCCUUCAAAAGUUGUGGCCACUGUAUUUUUUGGAGAAGUUGCUGAGAAUUCUGUGAGGAAGUCCUAACCGCAGCUCUGCAUCCCCAUCUGGGGGUCAUGUCGAUUACACAGGUAGCAAAACUGGUUGGAAUCUAUCAAGUGAGAAGGCCCCAAUCCCAAACAACCAAACAUGGGUUAACCAGCGACUAGACCAGGGCUGCACAACUUCGACCCUUCGCCUGGGCUUGGACUACAACUCCCAUCUUCCCCAGCCACCGUGGCUAGUAGUCGGAGAUUAUGGGAGUUGUAGUCUGCGGGGGGGGGCGAAGUUAUGCAGCCCUGUCCUAGACAGAGGAAGUUGCUGUAUACAGAGUCAGGUCAUUGGUCCACCCAGUUCACAACGGUCUCCUCUGACUGGCAACAACUCUCCAGCGGACCUCAGCCAGUGGACACUCAGUGUCUUGACUGGAGACCAAACCUUGGGGCCAUCUGCAGGCAGAGCGACGGCAUCUCCCACAGACCUGCUAGCUAAACGGCUCCGGCCACUCCAUCUUCUGGGAUGCUCAAAGGCCUCUAUUCAUAGCACUCAGCUGCCCAAAACCGUUGGUGGUGGUGGUUGUUGUUAAGAUUCCCCACCUCCCCGCCCCCCGGCCGAACAGAGCUAUAAAUACGCACUGGUCACAAGCACAGAGGCUGACCGCUUGCUUAAUGCCGCUCUGCGGGUGACCGGUCAUAUAAUCUUUCCUUCCAAUCGCCCUGUCUCUGCGCUCUCGAGCUGUACCGUCAAUGGCCAAGCUCUCUAAUGUUGGCGAUUUGCCGCCGCCGGAACACACUGCUGGGACUGAUCACCCCAUGCAGAAGCAAGGCAGCUGCAGCCAUGCCUGUUUCCCUGUUUUUUAAGCUUUAAGCUCCUUCCUGCCUUGCCCCAAGAGUGGGUCAUGAUCAGUGCACUGUGCAUUCCAGGACACAAACGUGGAACUUGGGCCCAGCCGCAGACUGGAUUACUCAGUGCCGAGAAAGGUACUCUGCUUAUGCUCAGAGUCACGCCUUCCUUCCCAUGUCCCAGGGAGGCUGAGCCCCAGCAUUCAGUAAACUAGGUUCCAGGGUCAAAUGUCAGCAGGUACUAGAUCAGCCUACGCUGUGCGGGCACGCCUGACAAGAAACAAACCUGUCGCCCAGUGUUUGCACAGGUAUGGUAGUACAAACAGCCUGAUGUUUGCAUUUCCAUUUAGCAGGAUGUGCAAAGGCCUUCUGAGCACACUCAUAACAAAAGGCUCCGUUCCGAAGUGCUGCUUACAACAUGCUGGCAGCUAUUAACAGUUCAUAAAAUGCCUUUUUUAAAAAACCAAAAAAAACCCUGCAUCAUGUAAUAUGCAGCCUCCCACUUCGUGUUUGGCAGCUGACAAAACAUUUACUAAUCUGAACAGCUAAGAAUGCUAACAAAUAUGACUUUCUCUUUAAAAAAACGUCAGUUUCACUGUUUGUCAAACAAAAAAGUUUCUUCCUGGCAUAUCUAGGAAUAAACAUCCUCUGUGUUUUGUAAUUACAAUCACAAGCAAAGAUUCUUAAAGGUACAGAGAGUAAAGGCAAAAUGUGCCAUCAAGUCGC